rnacentral:rRNA from 1 species
UGAAUACGAGACGCUAAGGCGUCGAAGUAGUGUAUAUCAGACUUCCAAGAAAAGCUUGCACUGUCAUAGAUAAAAAAUGCCUGUACCAUAACCGACACAGGUGGGUAGGUAGAGUAUACUAAGGGGCGCGAGAUAACUCUCUCUAAGGAACUCGGCAAAAUAACUCCGUAACUUCGGGAGAAGGAGUGCCUUAUUUAUAAGGUUGCAAUAACAAGAUCCAAGCAACUGUUUAUCAAAAACACAGGUCUCCGCUAAGUCGUAAGACGAUGUAUGGGGGCUGACGCCUGCCCAGUGCCAGAAGGUUAAAGAAGUUGGUUAGCAAUUGCGAAGCUGAUAACUGAAGCCCUGGUGAACGGCGGCCGUAACGAUAACGGUCCUAAGGUAGCGAAAUUCCUUGUCGGGUAAGUUCCGACCCGCACGAAAGGCGUAAUGAUUUGGAUACUGUCUCGGAGAGGGGCUCGGUGAAAUAGACUUGUCUGUGAAGAUGCGGACUACCUGCACCAGGACAGAAAGACCCUAUGAAGCUUUACUGUAACUUGAAAUUGAAAUUGGACUUUAUUCGCGCAGCAUAGGUGGGAGGCGUUGAUUAUAAUCUUGCGGGAUUAUUGGAGCCAUCAGUGAGAUACCACUCUUGUAAUGUUAGAUUUCUAACUUUGAAUCAUUAUCUGGUCAAAGAACAGUUUCAGGCGGGCAGUUUGACUGGGGCGGUCGCCUCCUAAAUGGUAACGGAGGCGUACAAAGGUUUCCUCUGAACGGUUAGAAAUCGUAUCUAGAGUGUAAAGGCAUAAGGAAGCUUGACUGUGAGACCUACAAGUCGAGCAGGGACGAAAGUCGGUCUUAGUGAUCUGACGGUACUGAGUGGAAAGGCCGUCACUCAACGGAUAAAAGUUACUCUAGGAUAACAGGCUGAUCUCCCCCAAGAGUUCACAUCGACGGGGAGGUUUGGCACCUCGAUGUCGGCUCAUCGCAUCCUGGGGCGGUAGUACGUCCCAAGGGUUGGGCUGUUCGCCCAUGAAAGCGGUACGCGAGCUGGGUUCAGAACGUCGUGAGACAGUUCGGUCCAUAUCCGGUGUAGGCGUUAGAAUAUUGAGAGGAGCCUUCUUUAGUACGAGAGGACCGAGAAGGACAUACCUCUGGUGUACCAGUUAUCGUGCCAACGGUAAACGCUGGGUAGCUAUGUAUGGAGUGGAUAACCGCUGAAAGCAUCUAAGUGGGAAGCCCACCUCAAGAUAAGUAUUCUC